AGUCGAGCGGACUUAAAAAGCUUGCUUUUUAAGUUAGCGGCGGACGGGUGAGUAACACGUGGGCAACCUGCCUGUAAGACUGGGAUAACUUCGGGAAACCGGAGCUAAUACCGGAUAAUCCUUUCCUACUCAUGUAGGAAAGCUGAAAGACGGUUUACGCUGUCACUUACAGAUGGGCCCGCGGCGCAUUAGCUAGUUGGUGAGGUAACGGCUCACCAAGGCGACGAUGCGUAGCCGACCUGAGAGGGUGAUCGGCCACACUGGGACUGAGACACGGCCCAGACUCCUACGGGAGGCAGCAGUAGGGAAUCUUCCGCAAUGGACGAAAGUCUGACGGAGCAACGCCGCGUGAGUGAUGAAGGUUUUCGGAUCGUAAAACUCUGUUGUUAGGGAAGAACAAGUACGAGAGUAACUGCUCGUACCUUGACGGUACCUAACCAGAAAGCCACGGCUAACUACGUGCCAGC
rnacentral:rRNA from 1 species